GUGCCAGCCGCCGCGGUAAUACGUAGGUGGCAAGCGUUAUCCGGAAUUACUGGGCGUAAAGCGCACGCAGGCGGCUUUUCAAGUUCGACGUGAAAGCUCCCGGCUUAACUGGGAGAGGUCGUUGAAGACUGAGAGGCUUGAGGCAAGGAGAGGGGUGUAGAAUUCCCGGUGUAGUGGUGGAAUGCGUAGAUAUCGGGAGGAAUACCAGUGGCGAAAGCGGCACCCUAGCCUUAGCCUGACGCUCAUGUGCGAAAGCGUGGGGAGCGAACGGGAUUAGAAACCCGCGUAGUCC
rnacentral:rRNA from 1 species